rfam:Cavia porcellus supercont2_9 genomic scaffold, whole genome shotgun sequence.
GGGGAUUUAGCUCAGCGGCAUAAGCGCCUGCCUUGAAAGCAGGCAGUCGUGAGUUCAAUCCCCG